rnacentral:tRNA from 1 species
AUAUAAAUCAGCUAAAAUUAAGCUAAUAGGUUCAUACCCUAGAAAUAUAAUUUUAAAUUAUUUUAUAUA